rnacentral:rRNA from 1 species
UACGUAGGGUCCAAGCGUUAAUCGGAAUUACUGGGCGUAAAGCGUGCGCAGGCGGCUUCGCAAGUCAGACGUGAAAUCCCCGGGCUUAACCUGGGAAUGGCGUUUGAAACUACGGAGCUGGAGUGUGGCAGAGGGAGGUAGAAUUCCACGUGUAGCGGUGAAAUGCGUAGAUAUGUGGAGGAAUACCGAUGGCGAAGGAAGCCUCCUGGGCCAACACUGACGCUCAUGCACGAAAGCGUGGGGAGCAAACAGG